rnacentral:rRNA from 1 species
UACGGGGGGGGGCAAGCGUUGUUCGGAAUUACUGGGCGUAAAGGGCGUGUAGGCGGCCAACUAAGUCCGACGUGAAAUCCCCCAGGCUUAACCUGGGAACUGCGUCGGAUACUGGAUGGCUUGAAUCCGGGAGAGGGAUGCAGAAUUCCAGGUGUAGCGGUGAAAUGCGUAGAUAUCUGGAGGAACACCUGAGGUGAAGACGGGUUGCUGGGCCAACACUGACGCUGAGGCGCGAAAGCCAGGGGAGCAAACGGG